rnacentral:rRNA from 1 species
AGCCUGAUGCAGCGACGCCGCGUGAGGGAUGACGGCCUUCGGGUUGUAAACCUCUUUCAGUAGGGACGAAGCGCAAGUGACGGUACCUACAGAAGAAGCACCGGCCAACUACGUGCCAGCAGCCGCGGUAAUACGUAGGGUGCAAGCGUUGUCCGGAAUUACUGGGCGUAAAGAGCUCGUAGGUGGUUUGUCGCGUUGUUCGUGAAAACCUGAGGCUUAACCUCGGGCGUGCGGGCGAUACGGGCAGACUAGAGUACUGCAGGGGAGACUGGAAUUCCUGGUGUAGCGGUGGAAUGCGCAGAUAUCAGGAGGAACACCGGUGGCGAAGGCGGGUCUCUGGGCAGUAACUGACGCUGAGGAGCGAAAGCGUGGGGAGCGAACAGGAUUAGAUACCCUGGUAGUCCACGCCGUAAACGGUGGGUACUAGGUGUGGGUUUCCUUCCUUGGGAUCCGUGCCGUAGCUAACGCAUUAAGUACCCCGCCUGGGGAGUACGGCCGCAAGGCUAAAACUCAAAGAAAUUGACGGGGGCCCGCACAAGCGGCGGAGCAUGUGGAUUAAUUCGAUGCAACGCGAAGAACCUUACCUGGGUUUGACAUGCACUAGACGCUGGUAGAGAUAUCAGUUCCCUUGUGG